rnacentral:lncRNA from 1 species
ACACACUUGUUGUGUGUAUUUCUUGGAGAACAGGGUGAGCCUAGCAGUGAUGACUAAUAUCUUUCUACUAACCAGGUAAAUGUGAAAGUGGGUCUUACCAAGGUGCCACAAUGCAGACCAUCGAACUUCACUGUCUAGGUGAGUGAGAAUGGUGUCCCUAACAUUUGUGUUCCUGUCUUUUUUUGCAGGCGUGAGGUUCAGAGAUGAUGUGAUAUUCGCUGAUUAAAGACAUUCUUAUAUACAGAUGGCUACAUAACUCAUGAUUUUAGUCUUUUAUGUUCACUUUGUUUUUGACAUGUAAUCAGGAAUUUAAUUUUCCCUAAGAACUCUAGUCAGAAGGAGAUUUUUUCGUAUAUUGUGUAAAAGUAAAUUGUGUCAAGCAUCGUAGUGAUGGACAGGUUUGCAGAGGUGACAUCGCUAGUGUCAAGGUCAAUGAUGAUGGAGCCUAAACCAGAGCACAGGCCAUCGGAUCUCCAGGUAUCUGAGUAAGUGAUGAUGUGUCCUAACACUUCUUAUUACCACAAUUUUUUUUCAGGCAUCAGGGUGAAAAAUAAUAGAGUCCUUAUCAAUCUAGAAAACAAUAGUUUUCAUUUUAUAUUUUAGAAAGAGUUGAGCACUCUUUGGUGUUGAGUGAUUGCACAUACGCAGAUAUUUAAUAUGGUUUUCCCACUACAGUACUGUCAUGGUUUUGUUUUCUUUUUAAACAGUUGUCCAGUCAAGAAACUCUGGCUUCCCAACAUUGGUGUUGACCUUGGAUUAGUGAAAGUAUCCAGGUAGAGUUGAUGUGUCUCAUAAUGGUGACGUGAUCAAGGUGUCUGGACAGAAAGGAUACAUCUUGUGUAUUUUCCAGGUUCCUGUCCAGAUAUCACUCUGAAACAAGGAUUGAUGUUAACGGUGGCCACUGUUGGAGUCCAGGUUCCUGUCAAGAGAGAGACAUUCUGGUGGUUGUUCUCUGGGGACAUUUCUGUGCCCAGGUAUGUAAUGAUGUGCACCUUCCCCUAACAGACAUCUCAUCUUCUCAUAUCUAGGUCAGUGUUAGGAUUGAAUAAACUUAUUUACCAUGUGUUUUAUUUUCAAGAAGUCAGGUAAGAAAUCAUAGUAUGUUUACCAGUUGUAGCAAUCCUGAUAUGCUACUGUCUGUGAUCUUAGAGAAAAUGUAUGCUUAGUCAUGGGAGUGUUGAGUGGCUGGUGGGUAUCCACACCAUGACAGUGGAAUUGUGUGGUACACUAGUAACCAUGGUGCUUUGGCAAGUAAGCUGGGAAGAGAUGAUGCUGUGUCUAAAUUUGGCAUAGAUCUUGGAGUCCUACAUGAAUCCAGGGAGAACCGAUGGGUCCUGCAGUGAUGGCCACCCAUAAGGCUGUUUGAAAUUUCCUGGUAGAAAAGGUACGUCCAUAGACAUAUCUGUCACAAAGGGCUUUUUACAGUCUGGUCAAGAAGUCAUGGUGAAUCUCAAAAUGAUCUUGAAUGGAACUUUGCUUCUCUCCAGAUAAGUGUUCCUAUGGCAUUUAGCACCUAUAAUAUGAUCUUCAGAUAUGUAGGUCUGAGGGAGGGUGUUCCUAAUUAUUCUGUUACCAUCUUGUUUUAUUUAAGCAGCUAUUCAUUUAAGAAGUGGCAUUUUCCAUCACAACCUUGUAGAUCAACUAUAGUUCAGUAAAACUUUAAAAAAUGGAAAAAAAAAAGAAAAUUGACAUAGUCACAACUAGUGCUUGUAUUUGCCUUUUUUUUUUUUUUUUAAGAUUUUUGAUAUAGUGUGUAUUUAAACUUAGUAGUAACAGAGGGUUAUUCAGGUCCAGGUAAUUUAUUCUACUUUUGCAGUGUUAACCAUGACAUUUCUACAGAUUCUCCUAGAAGAGAUGAUAGUGUGCCUCACAAUGGUGUUGACCUUAAAGUUCUUCCAAGGUUCAUAUAGUGCAUAUGCUCCUCUAAUGAUGGAAGCAAGCAAGAUUAUCUUCAAAGGUACUUAUUUGGCAGAUAAAUAAGAAUGUCCUUUAACACAGCUGUCUAAUGCAUUUCUCAAGGUUCUAGUCAGCAUCAUGAAUAUAAUUAACCAAAUAAUAGUUGUCAGUGGGACCUUGUUAGAAACCAGGUUGGUGAAAAGGUGGCUUACAGCCCAGUACAGAUCAUUAGAUGUUCAGUUAUCGAGCACGUAAGAAUGGUGUCUAACACAGUGCACCACACUUUUUUGUAGGUUUCCCAUUACUUUCUUUGUCUAGUGUACAGGUAUGAGAUGAUGUGACAUUAAUUCAUUAGAUACCGUCGUUUCUUCAGAUACGUAGGUAGUGAUGUUGACCUUGAAGAUCUUUCAAGAUCCACAGAGUAUCAAGGAUUCCCCUGAUGAUAGAAAAAUAACCAGAAGUAAUUACGUGUAUUCUUCAGGUAAAACAAUUUUUUCCUUAAAACCCUUGUCAGUUGUGUUCUUACAUGUUGUAGUAGUGAUGACCCUUUAGCAGACCUAGGAAUGGUCAUCAAUGGGACCCUGCUAGUAACCAGGUAAGUGAUAUUGAGGGUCUUGCAGCCCAAUAUAGACCAUCUGGUCUUCAGAUGUCUGUGUAAGUGAGGAUGAUGUCCCUAACACCAGACACAGUGAUACUGUGUUUUUUCCUGCAGGUACCCUGUUAAAGUGUUUGCUAGUAUGAAGGUAUUUUCAGAUAGAUAAGGAAUAAAUGAUAUUUUGCAGACACUUUAUAGUUUAUCUUACAUUUAACUAUAUUAACUAUAUAUUUGGCUUGUAUGCAGUAAAGCUAUUAAUCUGUCAUUAACAUACUCGUAAGCAUAAUAUUUUCCUAUAUUCGAGUUCCAGAAUAGCAUUUUACCCACCUCUACUGACAAAAGGAUAUGCGGAUAUCCAGGAAAUUUAUCAUACUGUUCAUCACCGCAAUAUAGACCGUAGAAUUUCGAGGUAGCCUUUCAAGAGAAGAAGGCAUCUCUUACUAAGAUUUAGUCCAGGUAAUGGUGAUGAGUCUCACAGUUAUGCAGUGGAACAAAGGGAUCUGAAGGUGGACACUAGAAUGAUAUGUACUUCAAGCACAUCCUCUAAAUGCGUCUUCAGGUUCGUGAUGGUAAGCAUCUCAAUGUAGUUAAAGUUGCUGGUAUCUAGGUGAGUGAUGGUGUGGGCCUAACCCACAUCAUAGACCAUCUCUGCCUCAUGUAUGUGGGUAAGUGAAUAUGCUUGCCUUCCUAACACUUCUUCUUAAAAAGAUUUUUUUGCAGGUAUUCAGCUGAGAAAUACUAAGAGUUCAUACUAAUUCCAAUAACCAUGAGUUUACGCUUUGUAUAUUUUAGUGAAAAUAUGUUUUAUCUUGUAAGUAUUGAGGAGUCAGUUAUGUUCCCAGUAGUUGUUGUGAAGUCUCCUCACUGUUGUAACCAUUGGAUUUUUACAGGAAUCCAGGAAAGUGAUACUGAUCUCUUCUGACAGCAGUGUUGACCUCGAAUGAAUGCAGAGAUCCAGGUAGCAAUGAUGUGUUCCAUGAUAACGGAGGUGCACACGGUUAGAUGCAGGUGUCCUGGUAGAACAGUGUUUGUCUUACACAGAUUUGUUGCAUGUAUUUCUUCAGGAUCCUGUUAAGACAACAGGGUAAACCUAGCAGUGUGAUGACUAACAAAAGCUUUCUAGUAACCAGGUAAGUGUGAAAGUGGGUCUCACCACAGUGCACACCAUCUGAACUUCAGGGUCUAGGUGAAUGAGGAUGGUGUCCCUAAUAUUUGUGUUCAUGUCUUCUUUUUGCAGGUGUCAGGUUCAGAUCUUUCCUUGUCACACAAGGAUGAGAUGAGGGGAUAUUCACUAAUUAAAGACAUUGUUAUAUUCUGAUGGCUACGUGAUUCAUGAUCAGUCUUUUAUAUUUACUUUGUUUUUGGCAUGUUAUCAGAUUUGGCUUUCCAACAUUGGUAUUGACCUUGAAUUACUGCAAGUAACCAGGUAGAGUUGAUGUGUCUCAUAAUGGUGACGUGACCAAGAUGUGUAGGUAGAAAGGACACAUUUCCUAUCUUUUACAGGUUUGUGUCCACACAUCACUCUGAACUGAGCAUUAAUGUUAACAGGGGACACGGUCGGGGUCCAGGUUUGUGAUGAUUGUGACCCUGUCACUUGUUACCAUGGCUUCUCUGCAGGUAUUCAGGUAAUGGUUGAUUCCUUACCAAUUCUUAAUACCAUGAACUUUCAGUUUUCAUGCUUUAGAGAAUAUCUUUAACUCUGUGACUCAUGAGCAAUUACACAUAGCAGGUAUUGAUUAUGAUUGCUCAAGCACAGUAGUGAUCAUGGAAUUUCUGCAGGUAUCUUGUAAAGAAGUGUUAUUUCCUGACAAGGGUCAUGCCCUAGGAGAACUGCAAAUAUUCAAGUAGAGUUGAUCAUAAUGCUGUCAAUGACGGAGCUUGUUUGCAAGUGUCCUAGUAGAGUAAGCUAUGUCCUUUUAUACGUGUAUCAUAAUGUGCUUUUCAGGUUCUGCCAAGAGAUGAAUAUUCAUUCUGAUGGUCAUUCUCUGGGGACAUUUCUUUGUCUGGGUAGGUAAUGAUGUGCACCUUUCCCAGCAGACAUUGCAUCUUCUCAUAUCUAGGUCUCUGUUCGGAUUGACUAAAUUUACUUAUCAUGUGGAUUUUUUCAGGUAAUCAGAUAAGAAAUGAUAGUAUUUUUACCAAUGGUAGCAAUCCUGAUAUGCUGCUGUUUGCAAUUUUAGAAAAAAAAAUGUAUGCUUACUCAUGGGAGUGUUCAGUGGCUCUUGAAUAUCCACAUCAUGAUGGUGGAAUUGUGUGGCACAGCAGUAACCAUGGUGCUUUUGCCAGGGGGCUGGGAGGAGAUGCUGGCGUGUCGAACUUUGGCAUAAAGCUUGGAGUCCUGCAUGAAGCCAGAGAGAACCGAUGGGUCCUGCAGUGAUGGCUACACACAGGGUUAUUUGAAGAGUCCUAGUAGAAAUUGUGCCUCCAUACACAUAACUGUCACAAGGGGCUCUUUGCAUUCUAGUCAAGAAAUCACAGUGAAUCUGAAAAUGAUCCUGAAUAGGCCUUUGAUGUCUCCAGAUAUUCAUUUCAGAAAUUAAUCACAAACUUGUCAGAUUCCCUGUUGUGGCUCAGUGGUAAUGAACCUGACUAGUAUACAUGAGGACUCCUGUUCGGUCCCUGGCCUCGCUCAGUGGGUUAAGGAUCCGGCGUUGCUAUGGUGAGCUACAGUGUAGGUCGCAGACAUGGCUCGGAUCUGUCGUUGCUGUGGCUGUGGCUUAGGGUGGUGGCUGUAGCUCCAGUUUGAGCCCUAGCCUGGGAACUAUGCUGUGGUUGUGGACCUAAAAAGACCAAGAAAAAAAAA